GUAGAUUGUGUGGCUGGAAGUUGUGCCAGGUACCCCAAGGAAUGCAAGAAAGACCAGGGUUACUGAAACCAGGAGAAGGAGGUGAAUGCCAGACCAGGUAGGGCUGGAGAAAUGGCAGUGGGCAGCUCUGCUGAGCCUUGAGGCUACAGCGAACAAUUUAUUCUCAUCCUAGGACUAUGAGGAGUCCGAAGGGCUUAAACAUGGGGAGGGUCAGGCUGAGAUUUGCUUUUUAAAAGUCGUUUUGACUGCUUUGUAGAGUCACCUGGAAGGAGAAGAGGGUGGGAUGUUAGAACAGCUGUGCUCUCACAAAGGGCAGUGAAAUUCAGAGGUGACAGGGCAGGAUCAGGGAGGGGUGUGAUCAGAGUGGAGAUAAAAGAGGGUGAGCAGAGUCCAGAGAUUUGUGAGGAAAAGUGACAGAUCAUUAUGACAGAGUAAGCAAGAAACCAGGGCUACAAGCAGUUAGCAGGUGUCAAGGAUGACUGGUGGAUUUUUCUGGAUCAUACAAUAGAUUUUCUGUUUUGGUGUUUGUUUUGAGACAGGAUUUCCUUAAAUUGCCCCAAGUGGACUUGAAGUUGAGGUGCUCCUGGGAUUACAGGUGUGAACCACCAUGACUGGCUUAUGUGCCGAAAAUCUAGAGGAUAAAACUCCCUAUUUCUGUUCUGGAGUGCAUUGAUUUUCAGAUUCAUAAAAUUUGUGCUGGAGUUUCAUCUUUCAAGGAGAAAAGCUGAAGUAAUUGGGGAGCAGUGCUUCUGAGAGUUUCCAUCAAAAGAGGAGGAAAAUGAUUUACACCAUUAAGGUCACUUUCAAUCCCUUUUUGUGUGAUGCUCCUGUUCCUGUCUUGGAACAGGUAGAUUUUCUCCUGCGUCCUGGAAGACCUAACUGGAGACAUUACAGCAGCCCUAGCUGGCCGGGUAAGUAGUUCUGGAAUUGUCUGAGGCUGUGACUGAAAGGGGAUGGAGAUUCUUGAAGGUGAAUUUCAGAGAAUGGGGAUAAAGUCCCCAAAUCUGCCUCCCCACAUGCAGAGUCUGUUUGGGACAUCUGUAGCCUGGACAAGGAAGAUGUUGGAGAAGUGGUGGUCUUAGAAUUCUCCCUAAUUUAUGUAAACCUGAAGUUAGACCCUGCUUUGGAAUGUUCGGUUUGUCUUUUGUGUGUGUGUGUGUGUGUGUGUGUGUGUGUGUGGUACCGGGGAUUGAACUUGGGACCUUGUGAUUGCAAGGCAGACGCUGGCACCACUGAGCUAACCCCUGACCUUCACUUUGUCUUGAGUAGACUCCAUAGUGCAUGGUGCUGCCAUCAAUCAGACAUUCCCCUGGGGAGUGUCCAAAACUCCCUUCUCUGAGGCAUCUUAGGCUUCAGCCUACCUCACCUGC
rnacentral:lncRNA from 1 species